rnacentral:rRNA from 1 species
GACAGAGGUGCCGAGCGUUAGGCGGAAUCACUGGGCUUAAAGCGUGUGUAGGCGGACCGUUAAGUACCUUGUGAAAUCCCCCGGCUCAACCGGGGAACGGCUGGGUAUACUGGCGGUCUUGAGCCAUCCAAGGGCAGUCGGAACAGACGGUGGAGCGGUGAAAUGCGUAGAUAUCGUCUGGAACGCCGAAGGUGAAAACAGACUGCUGGGGAUGAGCUGACGCUGAGACACGAAAGCCAGGGGAGCGAACGGG